CCCAGCCUGUCGACCGCCCCGUGCCUCAGCGGCGGCCCCGCCCCCUGACCUGGCACUCAGUUCCGGGGCGGGCUACCGCCUUGAAUCUGUGCUUUUCCUUCCCUGACCUUAAAGUCUCCCGAUCUUCAGUCACCGCGGGGCCGGGACUGGGAGCCAACCCAUGAGGCCUCCUGUUGCUGGCCACCGCUCUUGUCUGAUCUCAGCGGUGGCCUGGGGUCCCUCCAACCCGACCGCGGAGAGCUGGGACUUGGAGGCUGUCUUGCUUGGGUGCGGGAAGCGGCCAGGGUGAAGGCGAGGGCUGAACCAACGAGACCCUGAGGGCGCAGAGGGUUUGAAAGUUUGGCUGCCUCGGUUGUUGGACGAAGACUUUGUGGCUUAUCCAGGACUCUGCGUGUUUGCAUGUUUUGAGGGCUCUCUCCACAGAACACAAUGGAAGAAGAGACAGGGAAACUGAGGCAGAGAAAUGGAACAGCCCCAUCUGGAUAGUG
rnacentral:lncRNA from 1 species